CUCGAGACAGAGACUAUAGGGAAUAUUCCCAAGCAGCUGCCGAAACUCUCUUUGUUUCGGGGAAGUUUCCCUGUGUUCUCUGGCCUGACUUGGACUGCCUAACCCCUCCCCCUUUGCUGGUGGGAAAGCAUGGCGUCUGCUCCUCUGUUGGGGCUUAGGAGCUCCAAAACUGGGAAUCCUUUCUCUGCCUCCUGGCGGCACUUUGUUUCUUCUGUUUCCCCCUUACGUGUUUCUGUACCAACGUGUGUGCAGCCUGCAUGACUGGCCUCUAGAUCAUGCACCACAGCUCCUUCUCUCUCCACUGUCAAGGAGCAAGAACAACACCCCCUGGACCUAACACCUCCCCACUCCAGAUCUUCCCACGCAUGUCUCAGACUAUGGUACUGACACAGCGAUACCAACUCCUCAAACAAACAGAGCCCCGGACUAGCUCAAUGCAAGGGCAGGACAUGCAAGAACAAGACAAAUGGAUAGAAGAUUCUAUCCAUGAUAAAGAAAAAGGGGGGAAUGAAAGACCCCUCCCCUAGAAGAUAGAUAGGAUAACUAACCGCUUGUUUGCUUUUCUGUGAACCGCUGGCUUUUAGGCGUAAAUUAGGUUAUUAAUUGCUUAUUAAUUGCUCUUUUGCCCUUCUGUAACUGCUUGGCUUAUAGAAAUAAUAGAAGACGCCAUGAUGGCAUUCCUACCUUCCCCCUUCUUGUUCCCCCUCCCUGCCUCUCUCCUCCCGCGCGCGGGCCCUCAGAACCAAUCAGCUUGUUCCCCCUUCCCGCGCCUCUCUCUUCGCGCGCGGGUCCCCAAAGCCAAUCAGCAAACUCCACGUAUGCCUUUUUCAAAAGUUCUAACUGUCCACCAAUCAGUUGCGCCCCACCCAAAACUUGUUUGUACCUGUCUAUAAAAACCCGGCACCACCCCAGCCGGGUGUGCUCAGCUAGCAGGAGCUGCUGACCACCCGCAGGCGCGCGCUGACCACCCGCAGGCGCCUGCGUAACAGUAAAGAACCUCUUGCUGAUUGCA